CGGAAGUGGGACAGUGUUAUCCACGUAUUAAAUUUAGCUUUUAACAUGACCAUACACAGUGGUACUAAAUUCACACCAUCGGAAAUUUUUUUGGGAAGAAAUGUACCCCAUCCUUUACUAAAUUGUUGGGGUUUGCGUCCAGCCCUUUUGGAAACCCGAAGCCCCCGUUUGUUGGAAAAAAUGUGGGAAGAAGCAGCCGAAAAUCUGCAAAAGGUUAGAAAGAAAAUGAGUAAGUUUUAUAAUAAGGGGCGAGUGGAUAAUGUAUUUAAAAUUGGUGAUGAAGUGCUAUGCAGACAAUUUGUUUUGAGUGACAAAGUAGGGUAUCAGAGCUCUAAGUUAGAGAAUAAGUAUGAUGGACCGUAUAAGAUUGUAAAGAUUUUAGGGCCGGUUACUGUCUUGUUGGAAGAAGUUGAAAGAAAUAAUAAGGUAAAAAAGGCCCAUGUUAGUCAUUUGAAAAUGUUUGUAAGGCGGAGUUCCUAAAAUGAAUGUGGAUGACCCUUUUAGGGUGAAUAUGGCUAAAUAUUUUUAUUUUUAUUUUAUUUGGAACUUACUCUGGUAUGUUUUUUUUUUUUAUAUAAUUUGUAGUUGUGGUUAUUUUUAAAAUUUUCUUUGCUGUUUAAAUUUUUUUUUUGUUCAAGGCGGAGGUUGUGGCCGGCAGGGCCACAUUUUUACUUGUAAUUUAUUUUUGUUGCUGGUCUCUAGUUUUAUAUGGUUUUUUAUUUCACGUAUUUUUACGCCUUUUUUAAUUAAUGUUAAUUUAUCUGUAAAUUUUUUUUAAUUAUAUUUGUUUCUGUUAAUUAGUUAUACGCCGUUUGGUAGCUAUCGAUUAUGAGUUUAAGAAUAUCGAUUGUGUUUCACGUAAAUACCACUUGGUGAGCGCCCGGCGGUUGGCUGAUGACGUCAGACAUUCGGCUUGCCGGGAAGAAAAAAUCAGCUGGGCCGGCGAGAGAGUUUGUGCCGAGCGACCGUCGAGGACAGAGCCAUGUGACGGCGCGGACUGGUGUGCCGGACGGCAACGGGCGACGAAGAGUAUUGGGAUGGAGGCUCCACGCUGGGUGACAGGGCAAUGGAUUGCCCUGUGAUACUGAACUUAUCAAGCCCCAUGAUGGGCGUGUCUGUUUGGCGGCACCGUGGCAAGCGCCGGCCGAGGCCUGCAUCGUGCACCGAGGGAUGGGGUGCUUGGAGCGAUGGCACAGGGUGCCGUCGGAUCCCAUUCCUCAUCGCUGGAGCUCUGAGCAGUGGCCUUCACAUCGCGGAGGCAUCAGAACUUUCCGCAGCAUGGGCCGAGACGCCAGGUGGACAUCUGAAGUGUCUUCCUCUUCAGCUGGAGAUUGUGAUUGAACAUCAUGCUUGGAAAAAUAAACCGGCAAAAACAGGGUCUUCAGUUGUUGAGGGGCCAUGACGAUCCUGGUGGAGCCAGACCUGGAUUCUUCGCCAUUGGGAAACGUGACGGACGUUCCUGUAAGCUGUCUUUCGACAAGCAUGCUGCAAUCUCUCUGGUUAGAAGAACCCUUCGAGUCUGCCAGUGAAGAGCGACAUAUGCAGCACUAUGCUAUUCUUCAGAAAAUGUUCUAGCUCUUUUCAAAGAAGGAAUUAAAAACACAAAUAAGAACAUUAACUACGAUCAUUCAGAUGCAGCUGUACUGUGAGUUUCGCAUCUAUGACAAAUAGAUAUGCAGAGAAAAUGGUGGCUCCCGGAUCCAACGCCAUGUUAAGAUUUUACCCACAAAAGUGUAUAAUGAGGAUAUUCAGUAUACCCUCCUAUACCCUAGCUUGCAUUGCGUUGAAUAUCAAUUGAGGAAUAUGAUGUGGGGCAAAAACAGGGUUUUUGUGCCUAUAUAAUUAGUGAAGACAGUACCUAUGUUCUGUAAGAAGCCACGUCACCUACAGGUACUCCUGUAGGUCCGUUUGUAAGUGUGUUAAUGUCAAUAGUAAUGAAAGUUUUUUUUGAAUACAAGUGUGCAAAUUUAA